rnacentral:lncRNA from 1 species
CUCUUCUCUCACCUCCAUCUUUCAGAGAGAGAGAGAGUUUUUCUCUCAGUUUUGUUGUAUAUAUUCCGAUCAAUAUCGGACAUAAUAAUUCCGUUUAACGGAUUAGAAUUCCGGCGAUGACCGGAUUUAGUUUUCCGUUAUUGAAUCUCCUUUUGCUUUCUAAGUAUGAUUCUUCAAUUUCUGUGAAGAUUUUUCUUUGUUAGUCCUUAGUGGAGCAAAGAAUUUUUUCCCAACUGAAGAAUUGGUUUUCAUGGGAUUUAUGAGACAAGCAAUUGAGUUUUCAGUUUCGGAUUGUGUGUUAAUCCUCUGCAGAUCUAUCUAAUGAAGAUGGUUACAAUCUACUUCUUCAUCUUUUGGUUUCAUCCGCUCAUUUCGACCAAGAGUUAUAUCUCUUUUAAGUCCCCUAAUGAAGAUGCCUUCCAUGGCAGAGGGUGACAGGUCAUGAGAUUGGUGAUGGACGGCAGCGAUUUUAAUGGAGAAGUAAAACUUCUAACCAUAGCCUUUUCACAUCUAGAUCUGUUCUUUUGGAGGAUUUCUACGGUGGUGCUUGGGGGAAGAGACGGCGUAGACGAUGCUGUAAACCUGCCGGCGGCGUCUGAGAACGUUGAAUCGUGGCAGAGAUGGAAGGACGCCAGCGACAUUUUUUCUUCAACCCUUGAUUGGCCACGUGUUAACACGUGUUGUUUUUCUCUACACCCUUAUCUUUUGUAUUUGGGUUACUAUUGGGCUUUAAAUUGUAAUAAGUUAAGGGUUGGGUUAGAAACUAAUCACCACUUGUAAUGCCUUUGGGCUUUUAGUUUAUAAAACGAUGUGACGUCAAAAAAAAAGGUAAAUACUUAUUUUCA